GUGACAGUGAAAGUUCCUGUGAAAUUUACCAUCUAUUUUCUACCUUGUUACUCCCAACAUAUCCACCAUCUUCAGCAACUUGGCCCCGUUUUUCCGAUCACCAUAGUGUAUAUGAUGUAUGCUUCAGGCGAAAUUUUGCCAUAAUUUAUCGAAUCACCAGAGAAACCCUAAUUCACCAUUUCUUUUAAGGCUCAGAUUUCCACAGACUCUA
rnacentral:misc_RNA from 1 species